GACGAACGCUGGCGGCGCGCCUAACACAUGCAAGUCGAACGAGAGAUGAGGAGCUUGCUCUUCAGAUCGAGUGGCGAACGGGUGAGUAACGCGUGAGGAACCUGCCUCAAAGAGGGGGACAACAGUUGGAAACGACUGCUAAUACCGCAUAAGCCCACGGCUCGGCAUCGAGCAGGGGGAAAAGGAGCAAUCCGCUUUGAGAUGGCCUCGCGUCCGAUUAGCUAGUUGGUGAGGUAACAGCCCACCAAGGCGACGAUCGGUAGCCGGACUGAGAGGUUGAACGGCCACAUUGGGACUGAGACACGGCCCAGACUCCUACGGGAGGCAGCAGUGGGGAAUAUUGCACAAUGGGGGAAACCCUGAUGCAGCGACGCCGCGUGGAGGAAGAAGGUCUUCGGAUUGUAAACUCCUGUUGUUGAGGAAGAUAAUGACGGUACUCAACAAGGAAGUGACGGCUAACUACGUGCCAGCAGCCGCGGU
rnacentral:rRNA from 1 species